rnacentral:lncRNA from 1 species
GGGCGGGCAGAGGUCCUCGGCACCCUGGCCCGGCGGGAACAAACUGCCGCGGUGGCGGGAGCUAGGCUCGUGUGGCUGGAGGCGGGUCAUCCUUCUCUUCGCAGCUCCCGCAAACCCAUGGUUCCCUGGAGCCACAGCCUCCAGUGCUCUCAGCCUCUGAGAGUCAAGGCUUUCGUUGGCGCAGCUGCAGCCGGUGGCAAUGGCUACAAACCUCCUCCCCUCGUCUCCCUAAGGCGGAGCCCAGGCCACCCGGGCCGAAGCGCCCACGGAUCGCGAGUGAGCAGAAACGCCCAGACAGACGCCGCGGGACAGGGACCUACAAGAGUCCCAGGGGUUUCCGGCAAGCUGGAGAGGAGAGUGAUCCGGGGGAGCAAACUUGGCGCCGGCAACUCAGAGAGGUAACCCCUGUACUCAGAGUACUGAGGCAGAGAGUUUGCUUCGAGUUCCAGCCCCGUCUUGGCUACAGAAUGAGACCCUGCCCCAGAAUUAAGUAAAUAAAUGAAAUAAAAUGAAUUUACCUUAUGACCAGUAUGUAAAAGCAGCCCUUAUAGGCCACUGAUUAUGUAGAUCCUAGGUGCCCUAUCCUCUGGGAAAGAAGGUGGUGGUGGGGCGGAUGUAGUCUUCCACUUGGUUCUCAAGCCCUGGCCCAGCUAAGGGACUGCUUAUUGGUAACACAAUAAUAUCUCCAGACAUUGUGCUGAACUAUCUCUCUCUCUCUCUCUCUCUCUCUCUCUCUCUCUCUCUCUCUCUCUCUCUCU